AGUGAACGCUGGCGGUAGGCCUAACACAUGCAAGUCGAACGGCAGCACAGUAAGAGCUUGCUCUUACGGGUGGCGAGUGGCGGACGGGUGCGGAAUACAUCGGAAUCUACUUUUUCGUGGGGGAUAACGUAGGGAAACUUACGCUAAUACCGCAUACGACCUACGGGUGAAAGCAGGGGAUCUUCGGACCUUGCGCGAUUGAAUGAGCCGAUGUCGGAUUAGCUAGUUGGUGGGGUAAAGGCCCACCAAGGCGACGAUCCGUAGCUGGUCUGAGAGGAUGAUCAGCCACACUGGAACUGAGACACGGUCCAGACUCCGACGGGAGGCAGCAGUGGGGAAUAUUGGACAAUGGGCGAAAGCCUGAUCCAGCCAUGCCGCGUGAGGGAAGAAGGUCUUCGGGUUGUAAAGCACUUUUGGUUGGGAGGAAAAGCAGUAAGUUAAUACCUUGCUGUUAUGACGUUACCGAAAGAAUAAGCACCGGCUAACUUCGUG
rnacentral:rRNA from 1 species